rnacentral:rRNA from 1 species
AGUGAACGCUGGCGGUAGGCCUAACACAUGCAAGUCGAACGGCAGCACAGUAAGAGCUUGCUCUUACGGGUGGCGAGUGGCGGACGGGUGAGGAAUACAUCGGAAUCUACUUUUUCGUGGGGGAUAACGUAGGGAAACUUACGCCAAUACCGCAUACGACCUACGGGUGAAAGCAGGGGAUCUUCGGACCUUGCGCGAUUGAAUGAGCCGAUGUCGGAUUAGCUAGUUGGCGGGGUAAAGGCCCACCAAGGCGACGAUCCGUAGCUGGUCUGAGAGGAUGAUCAGCCACACUGGAACUGAGACACGGUCCAGACUCCUACGGGAGGCAGCAGUGGGGAAUAUUGGAUAAUGGGCGCAAGCCUGAUCCAGCCAUACCGCGUGGGUGAAGAAGGCCUUCGGGUUGUAAAGCCCUUUUGUUGGGAAAGAAAAGCAGCAGGUUAAUACCCCGCUGUUCUGACGGUACCCAAAGAAUAAGCACCGGCUAACUUCGUG